AGUGAACGCUGGCGGUAGGCCUAACACAUGCAAGUCGAACGGCAGCACAGUAAGAGCUUGCGCUGACGGGUGGCGGAUGGCGGACGUGUGAGGAGUGCAUCCUAAUCUACUUUUUCGUGGAGGAUCACGUAGGUGAAGUUACUCUAAUACCGCAUACCACGUACGGGUGAAAGCAGUGGAUCUUCUGACCUUGCGCGAUUGAAUGAGCCGAUGUCGGAUUAGCUAGUUGGGGGGGUAAAGGCCCACCAAGGCGAGGAUACGUAGCUUGUCGGUGAGGAUGAUCAGCGACACUGGAGCUGAGACACGGUCAAGACUACUGAGGGAGGGCGCAGUGUGGAAUGUUGGACAAUGGGGGCAAGUCUGACCCAGCCAUACCGAGUGGGUGAAGAAGGCCUUCGGGUUGUAAAGACGUUUUGUUGGGUAAGAAAAGCAGCCGGUUAAUACGAAGCUGUUCUGACGGUAACCAAUGAAUAAGCACCGGCUAACUUCGUG
rnacentral:rRNA from 1 species